UACGAAGGGUGCAAGCGUUACUCGGAAUUACUGGGCGUAAAGCGUGCGUAGGUGGUCUGUUAAGUCUGAUGUGAAAGCCCUGGGCUCAACCUGGGAAUUGCAUUGGAUACUGGCAGGCUAGAGUGCGGUAGAGGGUAGUGGAAUUCCCGGUGUAGCAGUGAAAUGCGUAGAGAUCCGGAAGAACACCGGUGGCGAAGGCGGCCUGCUGGGCAGUAGCCGAAAGGCUUUCAAGCUGACACUGAGGCGCGACAGCGUGGGGAGCAAACAGG
rnacentral:rRNA from 1 species